rnacentral:tmRNA from 1 species
GGGGCCGACUGGUUUUGACAGCGGGUCUAAUUGUAAAGUAAGCAUGUCGAGCGCUGGGAUACAGCUCGUAAAUAUCAUAUUUCACACUUUUUAAACGGCGAGAAUAACUACGCCCUAGCUGCAUAAUCCGAAUUACAGUAGGAUAAUGCCUCGGCCCGCAAGGCGGGCAAGCAGGAAGUCUCUCGAACGCCUUGGUUUGCGGCUUUCGAUAUAGAGACUUCGUAAAAGUAAACCUAGCUUGUAUAGUGCUUUGAUGUACUUGCGAAACUCAAAUUAAAGAUAAGCCUUGCGUUGGUCGUUUUCAACCGGCAAUUGGACGAAAAUUUAAAUGAAAACUAAACAUGUAGAAAGUUUUAUAAUUACUUGUUUGGACGGGAGUUCGAAUCUCCCCGGCUCCACUU